ensembl:lncRNA
CGAUUAUGUGUGUGUAAGCGGUUGACGCGUCUCUCAUAAUAGUCUCUGUGCAUAAUAAUUAAUAAAACGGUUAUAAUGUACAAAGAUAAUUUUGUCUCUGUGUCCCUUACUCCGAGUGUCGAUACAUUGGAAUUUCCAUCACAAUUUGGGGUGCUCGUCUGGGAUCCUUCUCCUGCUCGGUUCGAGUCCGUUUCCUAACAGGUUAACCGUGCACGGCCAGAGAUAGCUCUGGAAUUCUAGUAUCGUCCAGAAGAGGCUUAUCCUUUGACGGGCUGAGAAAGAGUGCCUGACUGGAGCUGGGACUCGUGCCUGAUCAGUACAGGUAUACCCAGGCUUAAAUUUCGAACUCGGGAGUUAAGGGCACUUUAGUUUGCGUUUUGGGCGCAUUUAUAUGGGGGUUAGGGCUCCUUUUUGCGUUAGGACGCAAGUACGUGUGUUAGGGCACAUUUGAAUUCUGCAGACAAGGCUAGGGCCUUGAACAUCUCACUUACGGGCGGACGGGUCUAUCAACGAUGUUAAGGGCACGUUGAUUGAGAUGAAAGAGUUAGGACGCUGGUAUGUGUGUUGGGGCACAUUGGGUUUGAAUGGUUAUGAGUUUUGUUAAUAGAAUUGAGUUUGUUUCGCCGUGUUAGUUUUUUGUUGCGUUUAAGCCUUGUGGUAAGUUUUUGGCGACGGUGUUUAUGUUUAUGGUGUUUGGACAUGUGAACAAAUGUUCUUUGAGUGUUAUUAGGUUUUCCGGCGACUGGCGUUUUCGUUCGGUGAUGGAUGCGCGGCAUGCUGGGCUGCUUGGAGGUAGAUGGACGUGGUAACGUAUGGCAGUUGCAGGAGGCAUGAUGUGUUGUUUGAAAGGCGUAGGCUACGGUGUGUAUACAGUGAGGAGUGAUGGAAAGCUUUGGGAAAGUGUGUGUGGAGUAUAUUGAUCUGUGUUGUAGUUUUUUGCUCAGGUUGGAUGGCUCGUUCUCCUCUGAUCGCCCGUCACCCCACCCCGCGGAGUUCAGCUGGACCGAUACAUGGUCCCAUCCCGCUCGGGACUCUGCAUUGUUGGAGUCGUACAGUCGACGUAGCCAAGCUAUAUGGACCUUUUUCGUUGUUUGAGUCAAGAAAAGUUCCAUAAGUGGGGAGUUGUACACACCAGGUGUACACAUCCGUAAUCUCCGGUGUUUGCGGCUGAGACCAAAGAAGACUACAGACCCGGGGUUGAGGAAGAGACUUUGCUAACCGCUAAUCGACCGGAAAUUGGAUUUGGGAAGAUGCCUGUGCGAAUCAAGACAACGACUGUACAGAUGUAUUGUUCCCGCAAGAAUAGAGAACAGUUUCGGCUUCUCUUUGGCCUCACCAUGAGCGAUCCAACGGGAACACGCAGGAACGCUGAACCGCCUGAGGGAGGUGUGCGGACGGUCAGACUGGAGACGGAGGGAGGGAGCAUCGACCGGUGAGAUUGUUCCUUUAUACAGUUUUCAUUUGCUUUAGUAAACAAUGUGGUUGGUUUUUGUCAGAUUUGUUGGUUUUGUGGAAGUUGAUAGAUGGAUUUGAGAAAGUAUGGUAACUAGAAGUUAUUUUUGAAGUGUUUUGGUUAAUAGCGAAUGUAAAACAUGUCGUUUUUGUUUUGUCCUGACACCCAUUCCUGUGCAGCUAACCUUUUUGCGUUGAUAUUAGUGCUGAAUUAUAAGCAGUUGGAUUGCUUGAAAAUCUGCAAUUUAGGUUGGACUUAAAUAUGCAUUUAAGAUUGGGUCUCAUACUUUCAGUGCCUGUAGAAGGGAGUAGGGAUUGCUCCAGUAAAUUGCCGCAAUUGUUGGUCAGCUUAUGGUUUGGAUCAGUAGUUAUGCUACAGACGUUGUGUAUGCGCGCGCCACUUCUGUGUGUGGUUGUGGCCCGAGUCACUGGCAUUUGUCAUUAUCUGUUUGUGGUCAUCAUCUAGUAAAUGCAUUUGUCCAUUUUUGUAAUCCCUGUGCACGGGGGUUCCGAUUGGCUGCAUUGUGUGUUCCUUGGUGGGAUAUGUGUAUGUGUUCAAUGUUGGUGUUAACUUGGAAGUUUUGAAAUCGCAAGGUUUUGCGUUGUUUGGGGUGCGUUUGGGUGAACGCUUACACUGCGUUGUUAAUAUGGUUAUUAUGCGAGGCCUACUCUUUCGGCUUUUGCCUUUGUGCUGAAAUUGCAAAAUUGAAUUUGCCUUCUAGUGUUGUGCUGAUGGCUGGCACACGUGGGAGUGUUAGCCUGAUAACUUCGGUUUGAAUAUGGAAAUAAUGUCCUAAAUGUAAUUAGAGGGAUAGAUUGGAAAUUGGGAUAGAUUGAACUAUGGUCUCGUGGUUUCGUAAUGAGGGGUUAAAAUAGUGUUUUCUCUCUCCUUGUAUGGAGUGGGAUGCAGACGAUAGCGAAAGUUUUUAGUAUUAAGAUAACAUGCUGUUUUCCAUGAGGACUGGAUUCAGCCAAUAUAGUCAUAGCCUGCAAAAGAGGGUAAAAUGACUACGGCCCGUUUAUUCCCCAAAUAGCCAAAGCCAGUUUAUUCCCCGUUUAAAUUAACCCGUAAAAUUAGAUGACCUAUUUUUUAAAUGCUAAAUUGAGUUUGGUUAAAUAAUAGAGUUUCUCUUAUUUGUAUUUCCAAUGAUACCUGGGUUAAUUCUUGUGUUUUCGGGCCUAUGCCUGAUGCCCGUUGCUGGCUUUAUGAAUUCUAGCCUGGUAAACUGACACAUGGGGUUGAUUGAUGUGUCUGCGUUUAGAGUUCUAGCCUGGGGUAUCCUGGGGUUCGCUCACUGAUUGUUCCUUGAUUUUAGUGAAGUCAAAUGUCUGUUUUCUGUUGACUUGUUGUAUAGAUAAUGAUAAGCACAUUUUUACAAACUGCGAAAAUAUUAGAUAGGUUGGACACUAAAUCUAAAAUAUUCAGUUAACGAACGAUGUAGGCUAAAUUGAUAGGAUAGUCUGAGGACCAUAAACGAACAUUUGGCCUUUUUUAAUGGCCCACCAUAAAUGGGUGGAGCUCAGAGUAGCAACCUUUCCCAUUACGUCAAGGUAGCAUAUUACUAAGGGUUAAAUUCGAGUGUUCUGCCUGUGCUCACCCGUGGUAAUUUCCCCUACAUGAGUAUGUUUAGUUUUGGGGAUAAUCAAACAUUACGUGGAAGCUACAUGCGUUUUCCUCUCCAUAGCCUUAAUGUUGACAUCUUAUGGUUUUGAGACGGAUUACCUUAAGUCAUCCAACAGUGUUAUUUGCUAGAACAAAUUUGAUGUCUUUGCAUGACUUAUGCAAGUAGCGAUUUUGGCUGUCCGCCACUAUUUUGAGUAACAUAGACAUAUACAUCUAAAGUUGAGUAUAUUCCCUAGACUUUAGGAGGUAAAUUGAGUCAUGAUGUUUGUUUGGUCUCAACUUAGUUUGGCCAUUGCCUGUGGAAAUGCAAAUUUUGAUAUGCUAAUUUGGGAGUUCCUUCACACGAGCAACCGUGUUGUGUAAUUGUUUUUUAGAUUUUCGCAUUUGUUUUUCUUGGAUUUUCAGUUUGCGACUUUUUAUGGAAUGCAUGUUAGAAUUUUCUUUUCAUUUUUGGUACUGUAAUGGUUCUGCUUUCACUUUGAGUCAUUUCCGUUAACUCUGUCGUGAAAGCAGGGGGGCUUGUAUGAAAUGAUUAUCUAUGAUGAUAAAGAGUUGAACUUAGAGUUCAAAGUGAAUUUAAUAGGUAUUUAGAGAGUUACAUGAAGAAUUUUUGUUUUUCUGUUUCCAAAAGUUAUUGCAGAAAAUUGGCAUCUGUUAAAAUCAACAUCCCUUUACAGUGUUUGUCUAAUUGAUUUUGGGAAGUUUGUUUUAUACAAAAUCUAACAUGGUUAUGGUUGAGUGGAAUACAUCUUACUAUUUUGAAACGGUUUAGCUAAGAAAUAACUAAUUUGAUGGGAGUGUUACUGUUCAGUUUGUUUAAUAUUUGAUUAGAAGUAAUCAUAUUAAUCUCAUGCAUUAUGGAAUAAGUGGGUAAAAACGUGCAGGGAGCACAUUUUGUUAUUCCUUACAUGUUUACUAAAUUUUGCUAUGUUUUAAUUAAUGCUGAGGAAGUAAUUCUGCAUUGGGUUAUGUUUCUAGAAAACCAGGUUGAGAGGUCUUACAUAGUCUAAAUUGUAUAUAGAGGUACAGACCCCCUGGAGCGCUGAACUCACUGACGAAAAAACCAGUGUGUUGGGGGGAGCUGUUUGAGAUUUUUUAACUUGUUUUAACUCUUUUAGAAGAGAAACAGACUUAUCGGUGACAUUAUCAAAAUUGGGUAUUCUAAUAUAAUUUCUGUCAUAGUAGACAAUCAUUGGAAUGUUAAUGGUUAACAGAUAUUUCUGUGUGGUGAAUAAUGAGACAACAUUUUUUGUUUACUAUUGUCUGGCCUCAAGAUAACACUACUCUGUCCUAUGAGAUUGGACUUAUCCUUUGGUUAGUAGACCACACCCCACUCCAGGGAGAGCUCUGGAGAGAUGGGGGGGGUCAUGAUUUAUGACAGGAUUACAGAAGUGUCUUUUAUGUGCUAGGAUUAUAGGAGACUUGGAGACAUUCACACUGAGUUUCAUCUUGUUGAGAAAUUAGGCUAAAUAACAGUUAUGUAAGCUGACCUUCAAGAUGGUGUGAAAUGUUUUGAUUUGCAAUAAGGUAUUUGAUCCUUCAUGUGACACAAUGGUGAAUUUGAUUGUAGUUCUGAUACAACACAAUCAGAUGUAAAUUAUAUAGCAACUGUGAUCUGGUUAAAUGGUGAACUGAGAAUUGUCCAUGAACUACUCUUUGAGAGUGAUACUUCAAUGUAAGCAAACUAUCUUAACUGAUGAGUUAUUGCAACAGUAAUGGGGAAUUGUGUUCUUCUGUUCUUUGUGUUGGUUGUUAAACCAACUAUAGAAAAUAGUGGAAUUGUUAUUUUGCUACACUAGCACCAGAGAUGUUAAUGUUUUAACGAUACUGUUACUGAUUACAACUGUUCUAAUCUAUUUUGACAAAGGAAGUAGAGAGAUAUUGGAAAUAUAGGGUUUAGUGUUUGAUAGUGUUUGAUUCUAAUGUAUCAGCGAGAUGCAACAAGCUAACGUAAUGGACAUAUGCAGAUGCAAUUAAUCUUCUCAAGGAUAAUUCACACUUCAGAUACAGGACACUUGAAAGCGAUUCGGCAAUAGAGGACUUGUUGGAGCCCAGAGAGAGACUGAGCUUGGCUUACAAGGACAACUGUGAGGUGGCUGAGGUGAGAUGGAUCUCACAGACACACAGACAGACUGUCCUACAGCUGAGAGAGGAGUCGACUCUGGCUCGCUGCACGUCUAGGUGCCGCACGUCUACAGGAUGCUGGUUUCCUGUGAGCUGGACUGAUUCGAGUCCUGAUGAUUCUGCAAUGUGAUGGAGAAGGUAACCUCCGGUCGAGAGGAUGGAGACACUGCUGAGAGAGGAACCUGGGGUCGACGACACACGCAACAGGAGUGUGAAAGCUGUCUACCAACUCCCAUUGAAGGCCUGCUGUACGACACCAAGCCUGGAGACUUGGUAGUCAUCAAGGACUGCAAGAGAAAGCACUGGAGCAAGCUACGCUGGUUGGGUCCAUACCAAGUUCAACUGGUCACUCAGUCUGCGGUCAAAGUUGCUGAACACCACACACUGUAAGAAGGCUCCAUGAUUAGAAGAUACAGCGAAAGAAUAGGUAAAUUGAAGUUACCUAAGGGUGGCGUGGGUUGUGGUGCUAGUAACCAACAACUCCAACACAGCCUGCGACCAUGGAGCCAGAGAGACAAGGACCAUGGAACUCCUUCAGGAGGUCUGGAGGAAUGAGAUGCACCAUCGGGUGCCUGCUGAUUUUUAAGUAUUAUCAUCGUCAUACCGAUAGUGUGGAUUUCUAAACCGCACUGUGAUGAUCAUGGACAGAUUGUAAAUAUGACACCUAAUGAAGCAAGGAAAGAGACAUUUGUACACCAUGAGAAGAGGCCCGAACCCCAGAUACAGACUUUGUUAAUCUCUUGUGACAUGAUGAGCUGCCCCCCGGAUGGGGAUUGCUAUGUGCUGACAAGCCCAGUAUUGAAGGAUAAUAAGUGGUAUUGGACUCACCUGAAUACAGGAGGGAACUCUAUGUUCCCCUCACACCAUUUUUCCAACCAUGUGAAUAGGUGGAGAUGUUAUGAUAAUGUUUAUUGUACUGUUGACAUUUCCAAACCACUAGGAGUAAUCCAGGAUUACUGAUGUUUCGGUACCAAUGGGGGUACCACCACUUGCAGAUCACCCGACUUCCCUAAAGGUAGACCCGCUAUGAUAUGUCCCUUAACAGUUGCACGUACUACUGUAGCUCCUACUCCUGCACCACGUCGUUCUGAACCAUAGAGUAGAGUAAGGAGAGCACUGUUAGAGCCAGACAACAUGGCCCUUAGGAUAAUGGUUGACUAUGCAAAACACAAGAACAUGACUUAUUGUUGGAUUUGCCAACACAUACCAACAUCUUCACGUUCUCCUAUGUUAACCCCUAUCCCAUUUUCAGUAGCAGACUGGCAGGCAUAUGGUUGGGCGGAUGUGGCAGCACAAAUGAUGCCGCCAGAUAAGGACUGUUAUUCCCCGUCAGCCAUUCCUGACAGGCAGAGCGGGGCUAACAUGGAUUUGGUCUAUAUGGUAAUGGUCCAGGAGCAGAACAUUUGUGAUGACUUUGGAAGUACAUCUAAUUGGCAUGAGUGGACUUUGUAAGAGUGAUAAAUUGAAGGAUGCAUUCAGUAAUAUGUGUUUACGCACUCACGUGUCGAUGCUGCAUAUCCAAUACUGUCAAUAUGUCACCUGAAAUCAUUUCCUUUGACCUAUGAUUUUAACAUAAAAAGAUUUUGUUGUACUAUGUUAUGAUUCUGUAUGAUGACAAUGUGUGAUCUUGGAGUUUAUACGAAGGUAAUCGUCUAGAAGAAUGUAAAUGAGGAUCCAGACAUUUCAGAUUUGUUCCGUUCUCUAAUCAUUAAGGGUAAUGAUAUUGACUGGGUCAUGUUGUUAAAGAGUACUGUUUUGUUGCAUUCUACAUCCUAAUGAGUGAACUGUUUAAGGUUUGAUACCAAGGUUUGACAUGGUAUCAAAGAGGAUGGAGUGUUAUGGAAAUUUUGAACUAAGGUGCAUUUGAGAAAUGUCUGUCUUUCUAUUGGCUGAUAUGUAAAUCUGUACUUUGAUUGUGACACACGUCUGUAUAAUAUCAGAGGAUUAUUAGGUAUUCCUGCCUAGAAGAAGGAUGUAUUCUUUGUCGUCAUAUACAUGUAUGAAUGAGUUACUAGUUAAAGAUAGGGGUCUGGUGUUUGAAUAGGAGACAUCCUUGACCGGCACGGGUGGAUUAGAGGGGUACUCGUAAAUCUGUAUAAUAUCCCUUUAGUGUCUCUGUUGACUAUCCAGACAUUGUGUCUCCUCAGGAGUUGAGAAGGAUAAGGUGGGGGGACAGCCCGCCCUUUGGGUAAACUCUUGUGACAAGACCGAUGGCAG